rnacentral:rRNA from 1 species
GGCUACAGGACGAACGCUGGCGGCGUGCCUAACACAUGCAAGUCGAACGGAGAUACUUUGAAGCUUGCGAUAAAGUAUCUUAGUGGCGGACGGGUGAGUAACGCGUGGGUAAUCUGCCCAUAAGUGGGGAACAACAGUUGGAAACGACUGCUAAUACCGCAUAAUCUGCCUUAGGGUAGGAAAGGUGGCCUCUUAACAAUGCUGCCGCUUAUGGAUGAGCCCGCGUCUGAUUAGCUAGUUGGUGGGGUAAAGGCCUACCAAGGCGACGAUCAGUAGCCGGCCUGAGAGGGUGAACGGCCACACUGGGACUGAGACACGGCCCAGACUCCUACGGGAGGCAGCAGUGGGGAAUAUUGCGCAAUGGGGGAAACCCUGACGCAGCGACGCCGCGUUGAGCGAAGAAGGCCUUAGGGUUGUAAAGCUCUGUUUUAGGGGACGAAUGUUCAUAGGAGUAAUAUGCCUGUGAAAUGACGGUACCCUAAGAGGAAGCCCCGGCUAACUACGUGCCAGCAGCCGC